GACGGAGGAGGCAAGCGUUAUCCGGAAUCAUUGGGCGUAAAGCGCGUGUAGGCGGUCCGGUAAGUCCGCUGUGAAAGUCGGGGGCUCAACCCUCGGAUGCCGGUGGAUACUGUCGGGCUUGAGUACGGAAGAGGCGAGUGGAAUUCCUGGUGUAGCGGUGAAAUGCGCAGAUAUCAGGAGGAACACCAAUUGCGAAGGCAGCUCGCUGGGACGUUACUGACGCUGAGACGCGAAAGCGUGGGGAGCAAACAGG
rnacentral:rRNA from 1 species